rnacentral:rRNA from 1 species
GAUGAACGCUGGCGGCGUGCCUAAUACAUGCAAGUCGAGCGAACAGACGAGGAGCUUGCUCCUCUGACGUUAGCGGCGGACGGGUGAGUAACACGUGGAUAACCUACCUAUAAGACUGGGAUAACUUCGGGAAACCGGAGCUAAUCCCGGAUAAUAUAUUGAACCGCAUGGUUCAAUAGUGAAAGACGGCUUUGCUGUCACUUAUAGAUGGAUCCGCGCCGCAUUAGCUAGUUGGUAAGGUAACGGCUUACCAAGGCAACGAUGCGUAGCCGACCUGAGAGAGUGGUCGGCCACACUGGAAGUGGGACACGGUCCAGACUCCUACGGGAGGCAGCAGUAGGGAAUCUUCGGCAGUAGGCGAAAGCCUGGCGGAGCAACGCCACGUGAGUGAUAGAGGUCUUCGGAUCGUAAAACUCUGUUAUUAGGGAAGAACAAAUGUGUAAGUAACUAUGCACGUCUUGACGGUACCUAAUCAGAAAGCCACGGCUAACUACGUG